rnacentral:rRNA from 1 species
UACAGAGGGUGCGAGCGUUAAUCGGAAUUACUGGGCGUAAAGGGCGCGUAGGCGGUCAUGAACGUGUGUUGUGAAAGCCCCGAGCUUAACUUGGGAAGAGCAACGCAAACGAUGUGACUGGAGUAGAUGAGAGGGUGGCGGAAUUUCCGGUGUAGCGGUGAAAUGCGUAGAGAUCGGAAGGAACGUCGAUGGCGAAGGCAGCCACCUGGCAUCAUACUGACGCUGAAGCGCGAAAGCGUGGGUAGCGAACAGGAUUAGAUACCCUGGUAGUCCACGCUGUAAACGAUGAGGACUAGGUGUUGGUAGGGGAACCUAUCAGUAUCGAAGCAAACGCGAUAAGUCUUCCGCCUGGGAAGUACGGCCGCAAGGUUGAA